rnacentral:rRNA from 1 species
AUUGAACGCUGGCGGCAGGCCUAACACAUGCAAGUCGAGCGGAUGAUGGGAGCUUGCUCCUUGAUUCAGCGGCGGACGGGUGAGUAAUGCCUAGGAAUCUGCCUGGUAGUGGGGGACAACGUUUCGAAAGGAACGCUAAUACCGCAUACGUCCUACGGGAGAAAGCAGGGGACCUUCGGGCCUUGCGCUAUCAGAUGAGCCUAGGUCGGAUUAGCUUGUUGGUGAGGGAAUGGCUCACCAAGGCGACGAUCCGUAACUGGUCUGAGAGGAUGAUCAGUCACACUGGAACUGAGACACGGUCCAGACUCCUACGGGAGGCAGCAGUGGGGAAUAUUGGACAAUGGGCGAAAGCCUGAUCCAGCCAUGCCGCGUGUGUGAAGAAGGUCUUCGGAUUGUAAAGCACUUUAAGUUGGGAGGAAGGGUUGUAGAUUAAUACUCUGCAAUUUUGACGUUACCAACAGAAUAAGCACCGGCUAACUCUGUGCCAGCCGCCGCGGUAAUAC